rnacentral:tRNA from 1 species
AAGGCACUAGUAAAAUUAUUACUCCGCUUUGUCAAGGCGAACUUGUGGGUUGAAAUCCCGCGUGCCUUU